UACGUAGGGAGCAAGCGUUGUUCGGACUUACUGGGCGUAAAGGGCGCGUAGGCGGCAGGUUAAGUCAGCUGUGAAAUCUCCGAGCUUAACUCGGAACUGUCAGCUGAUACUGUUUUGCUAGAGUGCGGAAGGGGCAAUCGGAAUUCUUGGUGUAGCGGUGAAAUGCGUAGAUAUCAAGAGGAACACCUGAGGUGAAGACGGGUUGCUGGGCCGACACUGACGCUGAGUGCGCGAAAGCCAGGGGAGCAAACGGG
rnacentral:rRNA from 1 species